rnacentral:rRNA from 1 species
UACGGAGGAUCCGAGCGUUAUCCGGAUUUAUUGGGUUUAAAGGGAGCGUAGGUGGAUUGUUAAGUCAGUUGUGAAAGUUUGCGGCUCAACCGUAAAAUUGCAGUUGAAACUGGCAGUCUUGAGUACAGUAGAGGUGGGCGGAAUUCGUGGUGUAGCGGUGAAAUGCUUAGAUAUCACGAAGAACUCCGAUUGCGAAGGCAGUUCACUGGACUGCAACUGACACUGAGGCUCGAAAGUGUGGGUAUCAAACAGG